AGAGUUUGAUCCUGGCUCAGGAUGAACGCUGGCGGCGUGCUUAACACAUGCAAGUCGAACGAAGCACUUUUACAGAUUUCUUCGGAAUGAAGUUUUAGUGACUGAGUGGCGGACGGGUGAGUAACGCGUAUCCAACCUGCCCACCACUUGGGGAUAACCUUGCGAAAGUAAGACUAAUACCCAAUGAUAUCUCUAGAAGACAUCUGAAAGAGAUUAAAGAUUCAUCGGUGAUGGAUGGGGAUGCGUCUGAUUAGCUUGUUGGCGGGGUAACGGCCCACCAAGGCAACGAUCAGUAGGGGUUCUGAGAGGAAGGUCCCCCACAUUGGAACUGAGACACGGUCCAAACUCAUACGGGAGGCAGCA
rnacentral:rRNA from 1 species